rnacentral:miRNA from 1 species
GCAGACACAUUCCAGCCAAUCAGCAGCAGACCCUCCCUCCCAGACCCUCCCACCUCCUGGACAGCAUCCAUUUUGAAGCUGCAUUCUUAGUGAGCUGCCCAGGAGGUGGGAGGGUCUGGGAGAGAGGGUCUGCUGCUGAUUGGCUGGAAUGUGUCUG